AUGAACGCUAGCUACAGGCUUAACACAUGCAAGUCGAGGGGCAGCAUUUUAGUUUGCUUGCAAACUGAAGAUGGCGACCGGCGCACGGGUGAGUAACACGUAUCCAACCUGCCGAUAACUCCGGAAUAGCCUUUCGAAAGAAAGAUUAAUACCGGAUAGUAUACGAAUAUCGCAUGAUAUUUUUAUUAAAGAAUUUCGGUUAUCGAUGGGGAUGCGUUCCAUUAGUUUGUUGGCGGGGUAACGGCCCACCAAGACUACGAUGGAUAGGGGUUCUGAGAGGAAGGUCCCCCACAUUGGAACUGAGACACGGUCCAAACUCCUACGGGAGGCAGCAGUGAGGAAUAUUGGUCAAUGGGCGAGAGCCUGAACCAGCCAAGUAGCGUGAAGGAUGAAGGCUCUAUGGGUCGUAAACUUCUUUUAUAUGGGAAUAAAGUUUUCCACGUGUGGAAUUUUGUAUGUACCAUAUGAAUAAGGAUCGGCUAACUCCGUGCCAGCAGCCGCGGUAAUACGGAGGAUCCGAGCGUUAUCCGGAUUUAUUGGGUUUAAAGGGAGCGUAGGUGGAUUGUUAAGUCAGUUGUGAAAGUUUGCGGCUCAACCGUAAAAUUGCAGUUGAAACUGGCAGUCUUGAGUACAGUAGAGGUGGGCGGAAUUCGUGGUGUAGCGGUGAAAUGCUUAGAUAUCACGAAGAACUCCGAUUGCGAAGGCAGCUCACUAGACUGUCACUGACACUGAUGCUCGAAAGUGUGGGUAUCAAACAGGAUUAGAUACCCUGGUAGUCCACACAGUAAACGAUGAAUACUCGCUGUUUGCGAUAUACAGUAAGCGGCCAAGCGAAAGCAUUAAGUAUUCCACCUGGGGAGUACGCCGGCAACGGUGAAACUCAAAGGAAUUGACGGGGGCCCGCACAAGCGGAGGAACAUGUGGUUUAAUUCGAUGAUACGCGAGGAACCUUACCCGGGCUUAAAUUGCAACAGAAUAUAUUGGAAACAGUAUAGCCGUAAGGCUGUUGUGAAGGUGCUGCAUGGUUGUCGUCAGCUCGUGCCGUGAGGUGUCGGCUUAAGUGCCAUAACGAGCGCAACCCUUAUCUUUAGUUACUAACAGGUGAUGCUGAGGACUCUAGAGAGACUGCCGUCGUAAGAUGUGAGGAAGGUGGGGAUGACGUCAAAUCAGCACGGCCCUUACGUCCGGGGCUACACACGUGUUACAAUGGGGGGUACAGAAGGCGGCUACCUGGUGACAGGAUGCUAAUCCCAAAAACCUCUCUCAGUUCGGAUCGAAGUCUGCAACCCGACUUCGUGAAGCUGGAUUCGCUAGUAAUCGCGCAUCAGCCAUGGCGCGGUGAAUACGUUCCCGGGCCUUGUACACACCGCCCGUCACACCACGAAAGUCGGAAGUGCCCAAAGCCGGUGGGGUAACCUUCGGGAGCCAGCCGUCUAAGGUAAAGUCGAUGAUUGGGGUG
rnacentral:rRNA from 1 species